UACGUAGGGUGCAAGCGUUAAUCGGAAUUACUGGGCGUAAAGCGUGCGCAGGCGGUUCGCUAAGACAGAUGUGAAAUCCCCGGGCUUAACCUGGGAACUGCAUUUGUGACUGGCAAGCUAGAGUAUGGCAGAGGGGGGUAGAAUUCCACGUGUGAGCAGUGAAAUGCGUAGAGAUGUGGAGGAAUACCGAUGGCGAAGGCAGCCCCCUGGGCCGAACCUGACGCUGAGGCGCGAAGGCUAGGGGAGCGAACGGG
rnacentral:rRNA from 1 species